AAGAUUGCUAAAUAAAUAAUAUUAAUAAGCACCCAACAGCAAUUUAUGAAACAAUGGAUUGAAAACAUAGAAAAUAAUAAAUAGCAAAGGUUGUUUGCAACACUCUAACUAGCUCUUGGGUUACCUGUGCAUAAUUAACAUAACACAUGAUGGCGGACGAGUCAAGUGUUUACUGAAUGUCGGAGGAAAAUUUCAAAAUUAUAAAGAAAGUUUAGAAAGGUGGCACAGACAUGUUAAAUCAGCUAUCCUCAGAACAGAUUACCUGGGCAAAAACCAAGUGUAUUCGUCCCUYCAGUCUGAGCGGUAACGAUGAUUUUGAUAAAUAUGCUGAUUACAUUGUGCAAAGCCAUGGAUUUGCAGUACCAGUUUCUUGGCAGGGUGCUCUUAAACUUUACUUCUUUCUUAAGUCCGUUGCAGCACGAUAAGAAAAGCAGGUAUAUAUAGCUUAAUUAAGUCGAUGCAACUUAAWUAAGGAACUUAUGUGAGAGGAUUCAAAACAAGGUGUUUGGCUUUGUUAUUUAUAGGCACAAUAUUGUGCCUUCAAUAAGACAUUAUUUUACUAUAUAAAAAAAUUGUUGUGUUUGUUUGAAGGUGUGUAUUUUUUGUGCUGCUUGUUUAGAAAAUAAACACUAUGAAAUCCC